GAUAUUUCUAAGCCGAUUUUCGAACAUCCGACCAUGGCAAACGAAAGAGCAUACUUUUUUCUAUAUAAUGGCAUAUUCUUUAGAGAUUUUUUCUAAAUAGUUAAAAUUUUAUGAGGAAUAUAGACAAAAUUUUAGUAUCGUUCGUUAGCGAAUUUUCACGGUUUUUUCAAUACUAAAUUGAAAAAAAGUGAUACUUCUAAGCCGAAUUUCGAACAUCGGUCAAUUCCAAACGAAAGAGCAUACUUUUUUCUAUAUAAUGGCAUAUUCUUUAGAGAACUUUUCUAAAUAUUUAAAAUUUUAUGAAGAACAUAGGCAAAAUUUUAGUAUCGUUCGAUAGCGAAUUUUCACGGUUUUUUCAAUAUUAAAUUGAAAAAAAGUGAUACUUCUAAGCCGAUUUUCGAACAUCGGUCAAUUCCAAACGAAAGAGCAUACUUUUUUCUAUAUAAUGGCAUAUUCUUUAGAGAACUUUUUCAAAUAGUUAAAAUUUUAUGGAAAAUAUA